rnacentral:rRNA from 1 species
AUUGCACGCUGGCGGCAGGCUUAACACAUGCAAGUCGAGCGAGCGGCGGCCGGGUGAGUAAUGUCUGGGAAACUGCCUGAUGGAGGGGGCUAACUACUGGAAACGGUAGCUAAUACCGCAUACCAUCAGAUGCGCCCAGAUGGGAUUAGCUUGUAGGUGGGGUAACGGCUCACCUAGGCGACGAUCCCUAGCUGGUCUGAGAGGAUGACCAGCAAAACUGGAACUGAGACACGGUCCAGACGCCUACGGGAGGCAGCAGUGGGGAAUAUUGCACAAUGGGCGCAAGCCUGAUGCAGCCAUGCCGCGUGUGUGAAGAAGGCCUUCGGGUUGUAAAGCACUUUCAGCGGGGAGGCGUUACUGGCAGAAGAAGCACCGGCUAACUCCGUGCCAGCAGCCGCGGUAAUAC